rnacentral:rRNA from 2 species
GAAUCUGGCUUCAGGUCUGGGACAACCACUGGAAACGGUGGCUAAUACCGGAUGUGCCGAAAGGUGAAAGGCUUGCUGCCUGAAGAUGAGCUCGCGUCUGAUUAGCUAGUAGGUGGGGUAAAAGCCUACCUAGGCGACGAUCAGUAGCUGGUCUGAGAGGAUGAUCAGCCACACUGGGACUGAGACACGGCCCAGACUCCUACGGGAGGCAGCAGUGGGGAAUUUUCCGCAAUGGGCGAAAGCCUGACGGAGCAAUACCGCGUGAGGGAGGAAGGCUCUUGGGUCGUAAACCUCUUUUCUCAGGGAAGAACACAAUGACGGUACCUGAGGAAUCAGCAUCGGCUAACUCCGUGCCAGCAGCCGCGGUAAUACGGAGGAUGCAAGCGUUAUCCGGAAUGAUUGGGCGUAAAGCGUCCGCAGGUGGCUAUGUAAGUCUGCUGUUAAAGAGUGAGGCUCAACCUCAUAAGAGCAGUGGAAACUACAUGGCUAGAGUGCGUUCGGGGCAGAGGGAAUUCCUGGUGUAGCGGUGAAAUGCGUAGAGAUCAGGAAGAACACCGGUGGCGAAAGCGCUCUGCUAGGCCGCAACU